rnacentral:rRNA from 1 species
AGCGAACGCUGGCGGCAGGCCUAACACAUGCAAGUCGAACGGAUCCUUCGGGAUUAGUGGCGGACGGGUGAGUAACACGUGGGAACGUGCCCUUUGGUUCGGAACAACUCAGGGAAACUUGAGCUAAUACCGGAUGUGCCCUUCGGGGGAAAGAUUUAUCGCCAUUGGAGCGGCCCGCGUCUGAUUAGCUAGUUGGUGAGUUAACGGCCCACCAAGGCGACGAUCAGUGGCUGGUCUGAGAGGAUGAUCAGCCACACUGGGACUGAGACACGGCCCAGACUCCUACGGGAGGCAGCAGUGGGGAAUCUUGCGCAAUGGGCGAAAGCCUGACGCAGCCAUGCCGCGUGAAUGAUGAAGGUCUUAGGAUUGUAAAAUUCUUUCAGCGGGGACGAUAAUGACGGUACCCGCAGAAGAAGCUCCGGCUAACUUCGUG